rnacentral:pre_miRNA from 1 species
AAAUUACUCCCUCCGUCCCAAAAUUCUUGUCUUAGAUUUGUCUAGAUACGGAUGUAUCAAGUCACAUUUUAGUAUUAGAUACAUCCGUAUCUAGACAAAUCUAAGACAAGAAAUUUGAGACAGAGGGAGUAGUUG